GGGCCCGUGGGAGAGUGGCCGAUUCCAACAGUCUCAGGAACUGUGCCGUAGGGCUAAACAUCGCUGGUUCGAAUCCAGCCGGGUCCA
rnacentral:tRNA from 1 species